CUUUUCUUACUUUUUUCCCCCCUCCUGUAUUGUGUUGAUAUCUUGAAUUUACUGAAAUUGUACUACAAAGCUAAAAGAUGCUUUAUGUUGGUUCAAGAUGCGUCGACAAGGGAUGAGACUUAAACCCUCUGUUGAUCUCCAACCAACACAGGUCGCCUAAGUUGCAGCUUCUAAAAUUUUAUACUUGGUGUCUUGGAAUUUUGUCAGUCUUUUUUCUUUUAAGUUUUUGUAAAUGUGGUUUUUCUGGGGGUUGGGGGGAAUUGUUCAAGUCAACAUGAAAUUACUUUUAUCAAAUUGUAUUGCUUAUUCUAUCUGAUAAAGCUUACCAAAUUCUUAAAUGCACAGUACUUGCCAGCAGUUUUAAAUACUCAAGGGACUCCCCUUCAUUGGAAGCACUUGAACAAUUAGAGACUGGAAGGGAUUCAAUACGAUUCUAAGGAAAAACAUGAGUAUAAUAUUAAAGAUUUUCGGCCAAAAAGUAGGAAGUUGCCAAAUGACUUUGAUAUGCUUUACAUUGAGUAAUAUAGGAUCGUUCUCAUUUAAUCAUUUUAUUCAGGACGACCCAAAGUAUUUUAAAACUUUUUGUCACAUGACAAGUUUGAAAGGAGACAAACUUAACUAUGGGCAUAAGAAAAAUUGUUCUAGGGACAAUAUAGAACCAAAUAAACUUCAUGAUAAGUUUUGUCGUUGAGAUAUUACACACUUUAGACACUAUUUUUGUUUUACGAAUGGAUGGCAAAUUAUCAAAUCAGAAAUUUUUUUUGGGAAAUUUAGUUUUCUUGUCAUAAAUGAAGAUUUAAUUUUGAUAACAUAUUUCUAGUCAUGAAUGUGUUACAGUGAGCCUAUGUUUUGAUAAUAUAUUUUACUGACAUUCAUGUAGGACAUAAUGAAGUUAUUCUGUUGUGCUUACUGUAUGAAGGAGUUUUUUAUGACCAGGGACAAGAAAGGAGAAUGUAAACUUGAAAUGUGGGCGAAUGCUAGACAGACUGACAGAGUCAAUGAACUAUGACUUUAGAUAUGACAGGCUUAAUUUGAAACAGAUGAUCAGUACGUUCAGACAAAAUAAUUUGGUUUCUAGUUUCAGUAGAAGGCUUUUAAGAAGGAUGUGAAGUUUUUUUGUUAUUUUUGACAGUAAUGUUGUUUUGUUAAUACUGGGAAAAAAAAAUGAAGAAUUGCGGAAAGAGUGAAUGACAACAAUUUAUAUAGGUUUUACCUAGUGCACAAAGCUCCAACUUUUGUGGGGUGCCCUUGUUCAUGCUUAUUAGAUAGUGGAUGACAGUCCCGUCUUGUGCAUGUGAGUGUCAGUCAGUGCCCUUGUCCAUGCUUCUUAGAUAGUGACAGUGAGGAGCUCGUACUCACGCUGAUUUAUUGAAAUAUGGGUCGUGAUGAUGGUGGCUUAUCAUGGUUCAUGUACCAAAAGCUACCGGAGUUCAAGCUGAAAGAAGCGAUUUCAAGGGAUCCUACCCUACUUGUUUAGGUGGUUGGUGUUCCUAAUGUUGGCAAGUCAUCUUUAAUUAAUUUGAUCCAUCAAAUUGUGUCAUCUUGCUUUCCUGGUAAGGUGUUACUAUGUUUCUGCUGGAUCAUGGUUGGAUGUCAUUUUCUUGAAAUGGAACUGUGGUGAAGUUUAUUAAAUUAUUGAACAAUAAUGGGUUCAGUUUUCUUUCAUGGUGCACUUACCAAAAAAAAGUUUUCUUUCAUAGUGCAGGAGAAUAUGAAGCUACACUUGGCCUGUUGCCUAGUGUUACUCAAGACAUUGCUAAAUACAAGGUCAAGAGAUUCUUUGUUUCAUGGUUUAUACACCUUAUAAAGUAAGAGACUGAAAUUUUUGCUUCAUGUGUCUUUCAUAGUUAUUAGCAUUCAAUAAUUAAGACUAUAUCUGAGAAUGAGAUUGAACCCUGAUAUUAAUAUUUUUGGUAGGAAGAUCUCAUAGGUUUGGUUGUGAAUUGUUUUAUUGACCAUUAUCACUUAACAUUUAGUUCAUGUUCUUGCUUUUAUGAGCCGCAGACUGGUUUCACGGAAGUUAUGGACUUAUUUCUAACUUGUGCUAUAGUAUUUGACCACAGAUAAAGUGAAGGGGAUUACUAUGACUUAUAUUAUAUUUUUGGCUUAAUUGAUUGAUGUUCCCCCUAUUUUGCUAGCUUUCUUACUAAUUUAUAUAUCUAUUUUUUUCUUUUGAUUUUUUUUUAAGCUAGUAAGUAUUUGUAAGUUUAUAGGAAUAAGGGGAAUAAACUAUCAGGGUUAGGUCUCUGGUUUGAUUAUUGAAAGCUUGUAAUAACUAAGUCAGUUGCAGAAGCUUUAUUCAAAGAUAUGUAUUGGGUGUCAGGCUAAUCAUCAAGCAUUUGGCUGGUUCAUUUUCUUUUUUAAUCUUAAUUUUCUUCUAUAUUACUUUUGCCUUCUGUUGUUAAUUUGUGGCUAAAUACUUCUGUUUCAGCAUUUAUGAAUGUUUAAAUGUUGACAUUGAAUUAUGAAGGUACAGAUUGUGCAUCAGCCUAUCAUAUAUGUCCUAGACACUCCGGGUGUAUUGGUUCCAAGUAUCUCUGACAUAGAGACAGGGCUGAAGCUGGCUCUUGCAGAAAAAAACAAGUGAGUCUCCAAUCGCUAUUCAGAGAGGCCAUAGAGCACUCAACCUGAGCUGAUUUGGUUGCAACAAACCAACUGGAUUCAGCUUCAAUUAUGUUGGGUAAGGCCUAAAAGUUAUAUGCCUCAAGUUAUGUCAGUGAGAUAAACCCUCUUGUUGACCUCCAACCAACACAGGUUGCCCAAGCUGUAGCUUCUAAAAUAUUUUACUUGGUGUCUUUGAAUUUUAUCAGUCUAUUUUAUUUUAUUUUUGUGUAUAUGUGGAUUUUUUUUGGGUUGGGGAGAGUUAUUCAAUUCAACAUGAAAUUACUUUUGUCACAUUGUUCUGAUUACUGUAUCUGAUAAAGCUUACCAAACUCUUAAAUGCACAUGAAGGGGCCCGUAAGAGAUUCAGUGGUAGGUGAGAAGCGAAUUGCACAAAACUUGCUGGCAGUUUUAAAUACUCAAGGAGCUCCCUACAUUGGAAGCACUUGAACAAUAGGAGAUUGGAAGGGAUUCGAUAUGAUUCUAAGGAAAAACGGCACAAGCUUGUCAACUUAUGAAGCAUCUACCCUUGCUUUAAUGGAUGGAUCUAUCUAUGCCAAUAUGGAUAAUAUCAAAGGGAAUUCUCAUAGCAUAAAUUCAAUUCUAAACAUUAUAGUAGUGGAGAUUAAAGCAAUUCUUUGGUGAAAAAUCCAAGUGUUCUGACUCCUUUAGCAUAAGAAGGAUUUGAAAAAUGACACUUAUUGUUCCGAAAGCAACAACCUAUAAUUUUACACCUUUGCCUUUUCCUAUCUUUUCCCCUCUAAUUACUGGGAAAUUAUUAGGUAGUUCGGGACUACAAAGUCAACAUGUUGUCCUUGUAGUCCCAGCCAAUAGAGGGAAGACGCAUCAUGAAAAAUGAAUGACAUCAUCUUAGCUGCCACAUCAUUCUAAGACACCCACAGAUUUUAACAUCGUUAGUCCUGUCCAUUAACUUGUCAGCAAAUUUCAAAUUUUCAUUUGGGAAUUGGGCGGGUCGGUGAGAGAUUUCAGAAGGUAAAAGCUUUCAAAAUUCAUUAUUUUGAAAAUUCUCUUUUUUUCUUUUUUUUUCCUCUCUCUCUGAUGGUCCAUCUCCAUGUUCAUUAUCAUCACUAUUAGCUACUUCAUCUGUUACUGUCCAGGCCUACGGAUAUCUCAUGGCUAAAUGACAACUUUUUUAGUUUUUUUACUUGGUAAAUUCGAACUUCUUCUUUUUUUUUUCUUCUUCGUUCUUAGCUCAAUAUUAUCUGGGUCAAGUUCCUAUUGCCUUUUGUUUUUAUAUUAAAUGGGUCAAGCCUUAAUGGUGUUCCUUUAGUGGCACUUUGUUGGAAUCUUAGGUUCUGUAAUACAUGGACACGGGUUUCAGAUUUGAUUUAUAGUUUAACUUUAUCGAUUGUUAAAUAUGAGUAAUAGUUUUGUUUUUUUUUUUUCCUAUAAAAAAAAAAAUGUUUUAGUUUUUGUUGGAUUUGAUUUGAUCAGAUAACUUUUGAGGGUGGUUGGGAUCAAAAGUGCUUGAUUUAGGAAAAGCGUCAAUGUCCCAAUUUUUAUUAUUAUUAUUUUUUGGAGGCAUAGAAAGUGUUUGUUGAAAUGCCUCAUAGAGUUUUGGCUUAUCUAAACUUGUUAUGGCUUUGUAUCCAUGUUUAUGUGGUUCUACCUUUUUUUUUAGAUGUUAAAUCUGGUGUAUUGAAUAGUUUAUUUCUCAAAUUGAAAUAAUUCUAUGAAAUUUCUUUUCCUAUAUCAUGUAAAAAAAUUACAAUAUUUCACUUUUCUUUUGUCAUUUUGAUUAUGAUUUCGUUUUAUGCUAUAGAUCCUCUUAGAGACUUUAUUUAUACUCUCUAAUGCUAUGAGGAACACAAUGGAUUAAUUUGCAACAUGCCAUAAUGCCACCUUGGUUAUAGAACGUUGUGAAGUGCCAACUUUUCUUUGUUUUGUGAUUUUGAUAGCGGCCUAUGGAUAAUUUUUAUAGUUAAACUUGAUGUUGGUUGCUUCAACAUGGAUGUAGAGUCUGCAGACAUGCAGCUACUGCAAUGUACCUCUCAAUCUACUUUAGCAAUGGCAAUCCAUUCCUGACCAAUUUAAGCGAAGUUGUUGGACAAAAUGGCUGGCUUCAGUUAUGAUUCAAACAAGCAUCACCAUUCAACAAGGGGACUCUAGGCUAGCUAAAUAGUAUGAAUAUCUUGCAGUAGCAACAUAAGAAGCAAAUUUCAAGCAACGUGGAUAAGCAUGAGUGUUCCUUUAUCCAAGGGAGCUGUUAGUAGUCUAUUAGAAUUAGACUUUAGCCAAUAGGUAGAUUUUUCAGAUUGAGUUAUUAGUUUAUUAUUUGUUCUUGGAUAUUAUCAAGUUGAUGUUGUAUCAAUUAGUACUCCUCUAUCUCUAUGUCAAGUUGAUGUUUACAGGAUGUAUGAAUUAUUCAUCUCAAAUAGAAUGUAUUUGAUAUUAUGUUAGAUUGCUCAAAGCAAAUUCAUGAUUUAUGAA